UGGGGGAUAUUGCACAAUGGGCGAAAGCCUGAUGCAGCGACGCCGCGUGGGGGAUGAAGGCUUUCGGGUGGUAAACCUCUUUCGCUAUCGAACAAGGCCCGCUUAGGGUGGGUGGAGGGUAGGUGGAGAAGAAGCGCCGGCUAACUACGUGCCAGCAGCCGCGGUAAUACGUAGGGCGCGAGCGUUGUCCGGAAUUAUUGGGCGUAAAGGGCUUGUAGGCGGCUUGUUGCGCCUGCUGUGAAAACGCGGGGCUUAACUUCGCGCGUGCAGUGGGUACGGGCAGGCUUGAGUGUGGUAGGGGUGACUGGAAUUCCAGGUGUAGCGGUGGAAUGCGCAGAUAUCUGGAGGAACACCGAUGGCGAAGGCAGGUCACUGGGCCAUUACUGACGCUGAGGAGCGAAAGCAUGGGUAGCGAACAGG
rnacentral:rRNA from 1 species